CUGCUGGUCCUUGCGUUUUACUCCGCCCA
rnacentral:sRNA from 1 species